GAUGAACGCUGGCGGCGUGCCUAAUACAUGCAAGUCGAGCGAACGGACGAGAAGCUUGCUUCUCUGAUGUUAGCGGCGGACGGGUGAGUAACACGUGGAUAACCUACCUAUAAGACUGGGAUAACUUCGGGAAACCGGAGCUAAUACCGGAUAAUAUUUUGAACCGCAUGGUUCAAAAGUAAAAGACGGUCUUGCUGUCACUUAUAGAUGGAUCCGCGCUGCAUUAGCUAGUUGGUAAGGUAACGGCUUACCAAGGCAACGAUGCAUAGCCGACCUGAGAGGGUGAUCGGCCACACUGGAACUGAGACACGGUCCAGACUCCUACGGGAGGCAGCAGUAGGGAAUCUUCCGCAAUGGGCGAAAGCCUGACGGAGCAACGCCGCGUGAGUGAUGAAGGUUUUCGGAUCGUAAAACUCUGUUAUUAGGGAAGAACAUAUGUGUAAGUAACUGUGCACAUCUUGACGGUACCUAAUCAGAAAGCCACGGCUAACUACGUG
rnacentral:rRNA from 1 species